rnacentral:misc_RNA from 1 species
UUAUUUUGAUAAAAAAAAUAAUAAUCCCUUGUGCUCUCUUUAAUUCUUUAUCAUAUGGAAGUAUGAUUUCUUUACGUAAUAAUUGGCUGAUAGGCUAAUUUUAAUAUGGAGGUAUGUUGGUUUUAAGAUACAUUUGGUUUAUUGUAGGUGAUAAUUGGCUAAUUUUCCGAAUGGUCUAUUCUGUUCUUAUAUCUGUAGUUUCUUCUGCACACUAGAGAAUGGUACAUGGAGAAAUAAACUGUGAGAUUUGUUGUGCUGUAAAUGAGCCAAGCUGAGUUGAGCGGCUUAGUUUAGUAGACUGGUAUAGUUGCUUUAGAGUCUGUUUGACAUUUUGUUGUAGAGAAAAACACAUCCGCAAAUAUGUUAAUUAAAGGGUAUUAAAAAUUAGUUUAAAAUUAAAUUUAACAUAUUUUAGUUAUAAGAACUUCAAAAUAAUU